AGUAAGGAAUAUUGGUCAAUGGAGGCAACUCUGAACCAGCCAUGCCGCGUGCAGGAAGACAGCCCUCUGGGUCGUAAACUGCUUUUAUUCGGGAAUAAACCUACUUACGUGUAAGUAGCUGAAUGUACCGAAGGAAUAAGGAUCGGCUAACUCCGUGCCAGCAGCCGCGGUAAUACGGAGGAUCCAAGCGUUAUCCGGAUUUAUUGGGUUUAAAGGGUGCGUAGGCGGCUUAUUAAGUCAGGGGUGAAAGACGGUGGCUCAACCAUCGCAGUGCCCUUGAUACUGAUGAGCUUGAAUACACUAGAGGUAGGCGGAAUGUGACAAGUAGCGGUGAAAUGCAUAGAUAUGUCACAGAACACCGAUUGCGAAGGCAGCUUACUAUGGUGUCAUUGACGCUGAGGCACGAAAGCGUGGGGAUCAAACAGG
rnacentral:rRNA from 1 species